CCAGUUGGUUAGAGCGCGCGCUUGAUAAGCGUGAGGUCGGAAGUUCAAGUCUUCCCAGGCCCACCACUUUCAUCGAGUGAGCAUUCGUCUUCUGGUUACGGGGCCAUAGCUCAGCUGGGAGAGCGCGUGCUUUGCAAGCAUGAGGUCGUCGGUUCGAUCCCGUCUGGCUCCACCAGAUGGUUUGAUCGCCGAGAUCUUGCACCGUCGUCCGCGAAACAUCACUUCGCAUCCUGCUAGUCUGGAUAGACAGCAAGAUGCGUGUUUUCUGACAUCGUAAAGAGGAGAUCGAUCCGAGUUGGGUCGUGCAGCAGAUUGUUGCGCGAAUCCUUCAUUAUCUCCGGAUCAUUUUCGGCGCUCGCUUUCAGCCGUGAGGUUGAAUGCGAGUUGUAAAAUGAUCCUUUUAGCGAAGCUUGACCGCCUCGCUAUCGGAACGAUCUUACGAAGCAAGCUGGUCUUUCUAGUCAAUGUCCGGCUGCAGAUAGCGUUCGUCGAGGGCGCGUGCCGCAAGGCAAUUCUGCAGACAACAUUCUGCCGAGUGUGUGGACAUUGAUAAUGAGAGCAAUCAAGUGCCUUAAGGGUGUUCGGUGGAUGCCUUGGCGCUGAGAGGCGAUGAAGGACGUGCUACGCUGCGAUAAGCCGUGGGGAGCUGCGAAGAAGCUUUGAUCCGCGGAUUUCCG
rnacentral:misc_RNA from 1 species